ACCAAAUUCCGAAAGGGAGAUAACCAGCUCAGGCAUGUGUUAAGGAAAAAUAAUCCUGUGUCUUCUUUGUAUUACUUUGUAGAUUACAGACUAUUUCAUAAAAGUGUGAAAUAAGUCUUACACAGAACGCUUUCUAUCACUAAGCUCACCGGGUAAAAAUCAGAAAAACAAACAUCUCCAAAAUUGCCAUUUUCAGAAGUAUCAGAACAACCCUACAAGAAUAAGAGAUGCAAGAAGUAGAAUGAGCUGUUGUGAGGAUCAAAUAACAGUAAAUGUGAAAGAAGUUUAUAAAUUGCUGAGUGCAAUAUAAGGUUUACCCUUCCCUGUGUUGAGCUCUAUGGAAGAUGUUAUUGUUAAGAUGAUCAACAGAAGCAUUCACAACCGAUAAAUCCUCCCCAAGAAGCCCAGUCCAUAUGUAAGAGCACAUGUUGAGCUCAAGACUUCAUAUGUAGAGGCUUGACAGUUAAGGAUAACUGGUAGGGGCUGGGCAUGGUGGCUCAUGCCUAUAAUCCCAGAGCUUUGAGGGGCUGAGGCUGGAAGAUUGCUUAAGUCCAGGAGUUCAAGACCAGUCUGGGCAACAGAGCAAGACCCUGUCUUCACAAAAACUUAAAAAAGUAGCUGAGCGUGGUGGUACAUGCCUGUAAUCCCAACCACUCA